GACAGAGGAUGCAAGCGUUAUCCGGAAUCAUUGGGCGUAAAGCGCACGUAGGCGGCUCGUUAAGUCGGAUGUGAAAUCCCUGGGCUCAACCCAGGAAGUGCAUUCGAAACUGGCGAGCUUGAAUAUGGAAGAGGGUCGCGGAAUUCCCGGUGUAGAGGUGAAAUUCGUAGAUAUCGGGAGGAACACCAGUGGCGAAGGCAGAUCUCUGGGCCGUAACUGACGCUGAGGAGCGAAAGCAUGGGAGCGAACAGG
rnacentral:rRNA from 1 species